AAAGUACUCUCUUCGUCUCAUAUUAAGUGACUCAAAUUUGUCCAAAUAUGGAUGUAUUUAUGCCUAAAAUGCGUCUAGAUACAUGUAAUAGAAAGUCACUUAAUAUAGGACGGAGGGAGUACUAA
rnacentral:pre_miRNA from 1 species